rnacentral:lncRNA from 1 species
GUUUAAAUCAUUCUACAUUGGGGUAAUAAUCAUGACAUUAUAAUGUAGCCUGUGAGUAUAUACAAAUAUAAUUUGUUAAUGCACGACUAAAAUAUUGGCUCAGGGAUCAACAUGAAUCCUAGGGACAUUGGAAGAUCCUUGUGACUGUGAUAAAAGGUUUAGUGAUGUAAUGAAGAGAUCCACAGGACUCUGAAUGGCGGAAGUGUGAUGCAGCCCGUUAUCUACUGCCUGCUGGCUCCUGGGUGGUCUCACCCAACAGCAAUGUCACUGCAUUUGCCAGUGCAGUUGUAAGGGCACGAGACCUGGAGUUUGGCCAUGAGGCCAACGGGCUUGGUUGAUGGUACCAGGAGAAACUUCAUCCUUGUGCUCAGACAGUCUCUGUAGUCUCUGCUGUUCUAUGUCAUUGUUACUGGACACUAGAAACAAAAGCAAGAAUAUCCUGG